rnacentral:rRNA from 1 species
UUGAACUGAAGAGUUUGAUCCUGGCUCAGAUUGAACGCUGGCGGCAUGCCUUACACAUGCAAGUCGAACGGCAGCACGGGUGCUUGCACCUGGUGGCGAGUGGCGAACGGGUGAGUAAUACAUCGGAACAUGUCCUGUAGUGGGGGAUAGCCCGGCGAAAGCCGGAUUAAUACCGCAUACGAUCUACGGAUGAAAGCGGGGGACCUUCGGGCCUCGCGCUAUAGGGUUGGCCGAUGG